rnacentral:rRNA from 1 species
GGGUUGUGAGGUUAAGCGACUAAGCGUACACGGUGGAUGCCCUGGCAGUCAGAGGCGAUGAAGGACGUGCUAAUCUGCGAAAAGCGUCGGUAAGGUGAUAUGAACCGUUAUAACCGGCGAUGUCCGAAUGGGGAAACCCAGUGCAAUUCGUUGCACUAUCGUUAACUGAAUACAUAGGUUAACGAGGCGAACCGGGGGAACUGAAACAUCUAAGUACCCCGAGGAAAAGAAAUCAACCGAGAUUCCCCCAGUAGCGGCGAGCGAACGGGGAGCAGCCCAGAGUCUGAAUCAGCUUGUGUGUUAGUGGAACGGUCUGGAAAGUCCGACGGUACAGGGUGAUAGUCCCGUACACCAAAAUGCACAGGCUGUGAACUCGAAGAGUAGGGCGGGACACGUGGUAUCCUGUCUGAAUAUGGGGGGACCAUCCUCCAAGGCUAAAUACUCCUGACUGACCGAUAGUGAACCAGUACCGUGAGGGAAAGGCGAAAAGAACCCCGGCGAGGGGAGUGAAAAAGAACCUGAAACCGUGUACGUACAAGCAGUGGGAGCACCUUCGGGUGUGACUGCGUACCUUUUGUAUAAUGGGUCAGCGACUUAUAUUCUGUAGCAAGGUUAACCGUAUAGGGGAGCCGCAGGGAAACCGAGUCUUAACUGGGCGUUAAGUUGCAGGGUAUAGACCCGAAACCCGGUGAUCUAGCCAUGGGCAGGUUGAAGGUUGGGUAACACUAACUGGAGGACCGAACCGACUAAUGUUGAAAAAUUAGCGGAUGACUUGUGGCUGGGGGUGAAAGGCCAAUCAAACCGGGAGAUAGCUGGUUCUCCCCGAAAGCUAUUUAGGUAGCGCCUCGUGAACUCAUCUUCGGGGGUAGAGCACUGUUUCGGCUAGGGGGUCAUCCCGACUUACCAACCCGAUGCAAACUACGAAUACCGAAGAAUGUUAUCACGGGAGACACACGGCGGGUGCUAACGUCCGUCGUGAAGAGGGAAACAACCCAGACCGCCAGCUAAGGUCCCAAAGUCAUGGUUAAGUGGGAAACGAUGUGGGAAGGCACAGACAGCCAGGAUGUUGGCUUAGAAGCAGCCAUCAUUUAAAGAAAGCGUAAUAGCUCACUGGUCGAGUCGGCCUGCGCGGAAGAUGUAACGGGGCUAAACCAUGCACCGAAGCUGCGGCAGCGACACUAUGUGUUGUUGGGUAGGGGAGCGUUCUGUAAGCCUGCGAAGGUGUGCUGUGAGGCAUGCUGGAGGUAUCAGAAGUGCGAAUGCUGACAUAAGUAACGAUAAAGCGGGUGAAAAGCCCGCUCGCCGGAAGACCAAGGGUUCCUGUCCAACGUUAAUCGGGGCAGGGUGAGUCGACCCCUAAGGCGAGGCCGAAAGGCGUAGUCGAUGGGAAACAGGUUAAUAUUCCUGUACUUGGUGUUACUGCGAAGGGGGGACGGAGAAGGCUAUGUUAGCCGGGCGACGGUUGUCCCGGUUUAAGCAUGUAGGCUGGUUAUCCNNNNNNNNNNNNNNNAUCAAGGCUGAGGUGUGAUGACGAGGCACUACGGUGCUGAAGUAACAAAUGCCCUGCUUCCAGGAAAAGCCUCUAAGCAUCAGGUAACAUUAAAUCGUACCCCAAACCGACACAGGUGGUCAGGUAGAGAAUACCAAGGCGCUUGAGAGAACUCGGGUGAAGGAACUAGGCAAAAUGGUGCCGUAACUUCGGGAGAAGGCACGCUGGUGUGUAGGUGAAGCCCCUGCGGGUGGAGCUGAGACCAGUCGAAGAUACCAGCUGGCUGCAACUGUUUAUUAAAAACACAGCACUGUGCAAACACGAAAGUGGACGUAUACGGUGUGACGCCUGCCCGGUGCCGGAAGGUUAAUUGAUGGGGUUAUCCGUAAGGAGAAGCUCUUGAUCGAAGCCCCGGUAAACGGCGGCCGUAACUAUAACGGUCCUAAGGUAGCGAAAUUCCUUGUCGGGUAAGUUCCGACCUGCACGAAUGGCGUAAUGAUGGCCAGGCUGUCUCCACCCGAGACUCAGUGAAAUUGAACUCGCUGUGAAGAUGCAGUGUACCCGCGGCAAGACGGAAAGACCCCGUGAACCUUUACUAUAGCUUGACACUGAACAUUGAGCCUUGAUGUGUAGGAUAGGUGGGAGGCUUUGAAGCGUGGACGCCAGUCUGCGUGGAGCCAACCUUGAAAUACCACCCUUUAAUGUUUGAUGUUCUAACGUUGGCCCCUUACCGGGGUUGCGGACAGUGUCUGGUGGGUAGUUUGACUGGGGCGGUCUCCUCCCAAAGCGUAACGGAGGAGCACGAAGGUUAGCUAAUCCUGGUCGGACAUCAGGAGGUUAGUGCAAUGGCAUAAGCUAGCUUGACUGCGAGCGUGACGGCGCGAGCAGGUGCGAAAGCAGGUCAUAGUGAUCCGGUGGUUCUGAAUGGAAGGGCCAUCGCUCAACGGAUAAAAGGUACUCCGGGGAUAACAGGCUGAUACCGCCCAAGAGUUCAUAUCGACGGCGGUGUUUGGCACCUCGAUGUCGGCUCAUCACAUCCUGGGGCUGAAGUAGGUCCCAAGGGUAUGGCUGUUCGCCAUUUAAAGUGGUACGCGAGCUGGGUUUAGAACGUCGUGAGACAGUUCGGUCCCUAUCUGCCGUGGGCGCUGGAGAAUUGAGGGGGGCUGCUCCUAGUACGAGAGGACCGGAGUGGACGCAUCACUGGUGUUCGGGUUGUCAUGCCAAUGGCACUGCCCGGUAGCUAAAUGCGGAAGAGAUAAGUGCUGAAAGCAUCUAAGCACGAAACUUGCCCCGAGAUGAGUUCUCCCUGAGACUUUAAGUCUCCUGAAGGAACGUUGAAGACGACGACGUUGAUAGGCCGGGUGUGUAAGCGCAGCGAUGCGUUGAGCUAACCGGUACUAAUGAACCGUGAGGCUUAACCUUACAACGCCGAAG